UACAGAGGUCUCAAGCGUUGUUCGGAUUCAUUGGGCGUAAAGGGUGCGUAGGUGGCGCCGUAAGUCGGGUGUGAAAUUUCGGAGCUUAACUCCGAAACUGCAUUCGAUACUGCGGUGCUUGAGGACUGGAGAGGAGACUGGAAUUCAUGGUGUAGCAGUGAAAUGCGCAGAGAUCAUGAGGAAGACCAGUGGCGAAGGCGGGUCUCUGGACAGUUCCUGACACUGAGGCACGAAGGCCAGGGGAGCAAACGGG
rnacentral:rRNA from 1 species